AUUGAACGCUGGCGGCAGGCCUAACACAUGCAAGUCGAACGAGUGGCGGACGGGUGAGUAAUGUCGGGGAAACUGCCUGAGGGAGGGGGAUAACUACGGGAAACGGUAGCUAAUACCGCAUACCAUCGGAUGUGCCCAGAUGGGAUUAGCUAGUGGGUGGGUUAAAGGCUCACCUAGGCGACGAUCCCUAGCUGUUCUGAGAGGAUGACCAGCAACACUGGAGCUGAGACACGUACCAUACUCCUACGGGAGGCACGGGUGGGGAAUAUUGCACAAUGGGCGCAAGCCUGAUGCAGCCAUGCCGCGUGUAUGAAGAAGGCCUUCGGGUUGUAAAGUACUUUCAGCGGGGAGGCGUUACCCGCAGAAGAAGCACCGGCUAACUCCGUGCCAGCAGCCGCGGUAAUAC
rnacentral:rRNA from 1 species